UACGGGGGGGGGCAAGCGUUGUUCGGAAUUACUGGGCGUAAAGGGCUCGUAGGUGGCCAACUAAGUCAGACGUGAAAUCCCUCAGCUUAACUGGGGAACUGCGUCUGAUACUGGAUGGCUUGAGUUUGGGAGAGGGAUGCGGAAUUCCAGGUGUAGCGGUGAAAUGCGUAGAGAUUAGGAAGAACACCAGUGGCGAAGGCGCUUUCUGGACUGUAACUGACACUGAGGCUCGAAAGCGUGGGGAGCAAACAGG
rnacentral:rRNA from 1 species